UGCACAGGAAGGGCUCAGAACCAACUGC
rnacentral:piRNA from 2 species